GUAUCUCGAUAUGAAAUUUGAAUAUUUCAUGUUUUCUACAUAUAAUGCAUUGUUGCUGUACCAUCGGUAGCAAUUUCAGUGGUAUCCUUUUGCACAGCCCCACCAGCCUCAAGUUCAGCAGUGAAAAGGGUGUUCGACAGUAAGAUCAGAUGUUUCUCAUUCUGAAACUUAGGGCCUAGCACCAUCACCUUACAGUCACGCCGUCAUGGUAAAAGUGAGAGUUGUAUCCUUUUGUCCAGUCUCCAGCAACACAUCAGUAUUAGUAAUAGAUCGAUUAAUCCAAUGGCUGUUCUAGCACAUUCAAGAUGAUAUGCAUUAUCCUUUCCCUUGAGCUUACGUGUCCGAAAUCAUUCUUGAAUAGUCUUCUCACUACAAUGUGCUCUGUAGUACAACAUCAGGUUUCAUGGUUUGAGUUUAACAGUGUAUUAGCCCUUUGGUAUGUUCUAAUUAGCACAUUAAUCUUGAGUUCUUCCAUCAAUUUGUAUUAUUUGAAGUUCUCAACGUAAAGUUGAUCCUGCUCAGGAUUACUCCCUCCGGUCCUUUUUAAUUGACUCGAAUUUAGUACAAAGUUGUACUAAAUCCAAGUCAAUUAAAAGAGACCGGAGGGAGUACUUCUUAACGGUCUUUUCCAAGCUUUUCACAUGUUUCUCUUCUUUCAAAUGUAUAUACAUGUUUAUCAGCAAAUUCAACUGAUAAUAUGCCAUGUUUGUGAAAUUUAGAUGUUGGUACCUGGGAGAUAUAUUUCAGUGUCCAGAAUUAUGAUAAUUUUGAACAUGGUUAAUUUAAUAUGGAGGACCACACAUGGACCUAAAACAAGGUCAACCAUUCAAAAAAAAAGGUCAGCACACCAUAUUUCUUACAUACGUACUUCAGGGUUUUGUAUACGGGUAGAAAGCUAAAAAUAGUAAGAUUUAUUGCUUAUUACACAACUUGAUGUGCAAAAAUUCAUUUGCCUUCUUUGUAAAAAAAUAUUCAGCUUUAAUUGAAAUCACAGAGAAACGCAAUGGAAGGUUAUGGGCCAAGGAACCGCAUUGACCAGUUUAGAGACUGGCAAGUUUAUAUAUGGACCAGUUAUUUAUAAUGGUAGAUCAUCUGGGAGCAACCAUGCAAGGUUGUGACCAAACAAUCCUGUAGAAGAGUUGGGAAAAGAACUGGAAGGGCCCAUUUAUACAUACGAACUGUUCAUUAUCAUAAAAGCCUGGAAUACACAUAGAUAUGGAGAUCACCGAUACGUAAUUCACUGCACACAGCGAAUCUCCUGUUCGGGGCAGCCGUUGGGUGCUACAAUUGGACCCGUGGGUAAUCAUUUGUCCGCGCUGGCUUUUGCUUAUGUUGGCGGGUUUCUUCAAAUUAUUGCAGACAAUAUAGCUUCCUUCUUCUUGCUGAAUUCCUUAUAAUCCAGUUCUACAGAUGGCAUUAUCUGCUUUACAUGAUCAGCAUGAAGUCCAUAUACAAUUGCUUAAUUAUGUUUCCAAGUAAGUGCGAAUUUUUUCCUUUCAUUUGCAACUCUCUUGGAUGAAAUUAGUUCUAUAAGAUCAUCAUAAAAAAACACUGCAGAAACCCCACUUUUAACAAGUCUACACCAGCAGGAAAACUAUACUAAGUUGGACACAUGCUUCCAGUUUCUGAAACCUGUAAAAGUAAUUCUUGCUGUAUAAGUUACUGAAGAAAGGCCAGUUGUCUUCAGUAUAAAUUAAAAAUUCAUCUCUGAUCAAUGUUCCAGGGAAAUACAUUGGAUGGCUGUGUGCCAAGCAACCACAUAGGUCAAUUCAGAGGCUAAUUGAAGAAAGAUCCGAUCUUUCAUUUGAGAUGUUCAUCAUCUCUCAAGCAUGAAGAAAGAUCCAAGAAAUUUUAUGUACCUUGAUAAUUUUGCAAUGCUGCGUACAAUGCGCAACAGUUUGGAGCUCUAGCAGCACACAUUGGAGAUAAUGCUCUUCUUUCAGGCAAAUAUAAUUAAUCUACAACAACUGAGUCCAGCUAAAGGUCAAACGAGCAAAAUCCCAGAUUGAUGAGCCAAAUAGUUCAUGUGGAAAAAUAUAUUUUGUGUCUAGGCGUGGCCACAAACCUGACAAACCUGAUGUAAAAUAUAGUCAUCUAUUUGCAGCUGUGGCCAGUAUGAAUGGCAUGCAGCUAAUGUAAUAUUGAGUGGACCUUAUCAGGCUACUAUGAGCACUCUGUACGACUAUGACAAACGCUAUUACUGAA